rnacentral:rRNA from 1 species
CCUACGGGUGGCAGCAGUGAGGAAUAUUGGUCAAUGGGCGGAAGCCUGAACCAGCCAAGUAGCGUGCAGGAUGACGGCCCUACGGGUUGUAAACUGCUUUUAUACGGGAAUAACGCGCCUUACGUGUAGGGCUUUGCAUGUACCGUAUGAAUAAGGACCGGCUAAUUCCGUGCCAGCAGCCGCGGUAAUACGGAAGGUCCGGGCGUUAUCCGGAUUUAUUGGGUUUAAAGGGAGCGUAGGUGGAUUGUUAAGUCAGUUGUGAAAGUUUGCGGCUCAACCGUAAAAUUGCAGUUGAAACUGGCAGUCUAGAGUACAGUAGAGGUGGGCGGAAUUCGUGGUGUAGCGGUGAAAUGCUUAGAUAUCACGAAGAACUCCGAUUGCGAAGGCAGUUCACUGGACUGCAACUGACACUGAGGCUCGAAAGUGUGGGUAUCAAACAGGAUUAGAUACCCCAGUAGUC